UGUAUCGACCCCAGGGCUGAGAAGAGUGUUUGACACGUAGUAAGUGCCCAACAGAUACUAUCAAAGAAAAAGAAAAGCGGGAAGGAAAAAUCGGCGAGCGGAUGACCCUUCACGUGGGAAAUGGAAAGCUUCUGUGGUGUUGGAUGAAAAAUUUCUCCCUUCAAGGUUUGCCCUUAGGGGACGAUAUCCGUCCUCCUAGUGGGAUUGUCUGCGAGAGAAAUCAAGAAUAAAAGGUCGGGGCUUGUGCCUCGGUGACGGCUGGGUUAGGGUUUAGCACCUCUCCGUGACACGAUGACACAUGACUAGAAUCGCUUCGAUUCGUGAAAACAGAAGAAAAAUCCAUUUUUGCAGUCCUUCAACGUCGCUGAGUGGAAAGUAAACUUGCAAUCCCCCAGGGGCCAAACGUCUUGCUUGCCCACAGAUAAGUCUCUCCGGGCCCAUCUAAUUCUAAUCCUCGUGCCAGUCAGUGGAGCUGCUGUUCUGUAGGAGGAGGAGCCGCAAAAUUCCGCAUUAUUUUCAUGAAGGCUAUCGCCGGAUACAACACGAGUUCUAACAGCCGCUGUGAAGAUGACUCAGUAAACACAGUUUGAAAUAUGUCACCCAGCAGGGGACAAAACUGAAUUCUCCUAAGGCCGGUGUGGA